rfam:Helianthus annuus linkage group 12, whole genome shotgun sequence.
CACUAGUCGAGAGUUGUUGCCACUCUCUUGAUAAGUCCAAAAGACAGGACGAAACGAGUG